UACGUAGGGUGCGAGCGUUGUCCGGAAUUAUUGGGCGUAAAGAGCUUGUAGGCGGUUUGUCGCGUCUGCUGUGAAAACUCGGGGCUUAACCCCGGGCCUGCAGUGGGUACGGGCAGACUAGAGUGCGGUAGGGGAGACUGGAAUUCCUGGUGUAGCGGUGAAAUGCGCAGAUAUCAGGAGGAACACCGGUGGCGAAGGCGGGUCUCUGGGCCGUAACUGACGCUGAGGAGCGAAAGCAUGGGGAGCGAACAGG
rnacentral:rRNA from 1 species